rnacentral:rRNA from 1 species
UACGAAGGGGGCUAGCGUUGCUCGGAAUCACUGGGCGUAAAGGGUGCGUAGGCGGGUCUUUAAGUCAGGGGUGAAAUCCUGGAGCUCAACUCCAGAACUGCCUUUGAUACUGAAGAUCUUGAGUUCGGGAGAGGUGAGUGGAACUGCGAGUGUAGAGGUGAAAUUCGUAGAUAUCGCAAGAACACCAGUGGCGAAGGCGGCUCACUGGUCCAUUACUGACGCU